AACUCUGAGCGGUGGAUUCACUCGGUCUCGGCUGGCGUCGAUGAAGCGCGCAGCCAACUGCGUGAAUUAGUGUGAAUUGCAGAUAUCUUGAACAUCGACAUCUUGAACGCAUAUUGCGGCCCUCAAGGUCUCCCCUGUGGCCACGCCUGGCCGAGGGUCG
rnacentral:rRNA from 1 species